rnacentral:SRP_RNA from 1 species
GGCGGUGGGGGAUCGGGGAGCUAGCCGUUCCCUGUAACCCGAAAUCGGCUAUAUGCGGGGAUCCGUUAACCAGGGAGGCGAUGACCCGACCCAGGGUAGGCCUGGACAUAUCAACUUUGAACUCCUGACCCGUCGGGCCGGCGGAGGGGCGUCCCCCUCUGAAGAGAGGGGGCGACCUCCUAACCACCGAAACCGGUUAGGCUCGGGAGAGAGCAGCCGUAAGGUGGACGCUCAGGCGCUGGCGGGAGGCCAGGGGGGAGGAGAUUGUCCAGAAACCGCUCUGGAGAGGGUCAUCAACUCUCUUGGGAUGCCACCGCC